GACAUAGGUCGCGAACGUUAUCCGGAAUUAUUGGGCGUAAAGAGCUCGUAGGCGGCUCAUUGCGUCAACCGUGAAAACCAGCAGCUCAACUGUUGGCUUGCGGUUGAUACGGGUGGGCUGGAGUUCGGUAGGGGAGACUGGAAUUCCUGGUGUAGCGGUGAAAUGCGCAGAUAUCAGGAGGAACACCGGUGGCGAAGGCGGGUCUCUGGGCCGAUACUGACGCUGAGGAGCGAAAGCGUGGGGAGCGAACAGG
rnacentral:rRNA from 1 species